GUUUAGAUUUUUUUCCUGCUGCUUUGUUCCUAUGUGUUUGGUGACUUUUUAAUAAGAGUUCUUUUCUGGCUUACCUUUAUCUGUGGAAAUACUGAGCUCUUAAAUUGAAGGUGCUCUCCUGGUAGUAUUUGCCUUUGAUUCUGCCUGCAGCCAGGGCUCCUUGUACACACACAUUUCAGACUACUUGGAGGAUCACAGUUUAAUGAAAUCUCAGGUUAAAUUCCCACUCUGCUGCCAGCCUAAGCCCAGUCCCUCUAUUUCCCAGACACACUCACCCAAGGACAUGGGUACCUGCCUGAGAAAUGGCAGAGAAAUGGUGCCAUGAAGUGUGCUCAAUGCCACAUUACAGCUCAUUUUAUUGGGAGGAGUGGUAAGGGAGCUUGGAGAUUUCCUUUAUUUUCUGAAAGCCCUUAAUUGCAAUAAAGAUUCAUUUUAUGCAGAAUAUAGUUAUUUGUGGCAGAAGCUGUCUGUCUCUCACCCCAAUAGAAGCUGAGAAAAUGUUCCAGUGACGGUAUAGCUGUAGAUACUCUAAAACAGGGUUUCUCACUCAGCACUGUUGACAACUUGGGCCUGAUAAGUCUUUGUUGCAGGGAGUUGUCCUCAGCAUCAUGGAAUGUUCAGCAGCAUCCCUGGCCUCUACCCACCAGCUGUCAGUGGCAAAGAUGCCCCCCAAAGUUGCCACAACCAAAAAUGUCUCCAGACAUUUCCAAAUGUCCUGGGGGCAAAAUCACCCCUGGUUGAGAACCACUAUGUGCAGAAAACUUCAGCUCCCGUGAGCUGGAAUCAAACUGGUGAUGUCUUCCGUUCUACCGGCGAUGUCAGAGGGCACAUCAAUUGACUGUAGGACUUGUCUCUUCUUAGUGGAGAUGUAAACACCAAAUAAGGCAUUUUAUGUUAGAAGACUAAUUGGAGAAAUCUGAGUUUGUGGAACUACCUGGGAAGGUGAUUGUGGAGCAGCACGUCCAAUCUUGGAAGUUCCAAAAAGCCUGAAGUCGAUGAGUCUAAACUUAGCCUUAGAAUCACCUGGGAAAUUUAAAAAAAAAAUCUCGAUCCACACCAUUCAGAGAUUCUAAUUAAAUACGUCCCGCUCAAGAGCCUUUUCCAGGUGAUGAAGAGGUGCUUUGGAUGUACCAGGUUAGGGCUGUAGGGAUGCCAGCUGUGAUCCUCUUCCCUUCCUUCAGCUGUUCCUGCUUCCGGGACCCGCACCUGACCCUGCGAGUCUUGGCGCUGGCCCAGGGCACAGGAGAAGCCGAGCCGCCGCCUAGCGGAGGACGCCGCGCGCCGCGACCUGCG
rnacentral:lncRNA from 1 species